UCAAGUGAAGAAGCGCAUACGGUGGAUGCCUUGGCAGUCAGAGGCGAUGAAAGACGUGGUAGCCUGCGAAAAGCUUCGGGGAGUCGGCAAACAGACUUUGAUCCGGAGAUCUCUGAAUGGGGGAACCCACCUAGGAUAACCUAGGUAUCUUGUACUGAAUCCAUAGGUGCAAGAGGCGAACCAGGGGAACUGAAACAUCUAAGUACCCUGAGGAAAAGAAAUCAACCGAGAUUCCCUUAGUAGUGGCGAGCGAACGGGGAUUAGCCCUUAAGCUUCAUUGAUUUUAGCGGAACGCUCUGGAAAGUGCGGCCAUAGUGGGUGAUAGCCCCGUACGCGAAAGGAUCUUUGAAGUGAAAUCGAGUAGGACGGAGCACGAGAAACUUUGUCUGAACAUGGGGGGACCAUCCUCCAAGGCUAAAUACUACUGACUGACCGAUAGUGAACCAGUACCGUGAGGGAAAGGCGAAAAGAACCCCGGAGAGGGGAGUGAAAUAGAACCUGAAACCGUAUGCGUACAAGCAGUGGGAGCCUACUUGUUAGGUGACUGCGUACCUUUUGUAUAAUGGGUCAGCGACUUAUAUUCAGUGGCAAGCUUAACCGUAUAGGGUAGGCGUAGCGAAAGCGAGUCUUAAUAGGGCGUUUAGUCGCUGGGUAUAGACCCGAAACCGGGCGAUCUAUCCAUGAGCAGGUUGAAGGUUAGGUAACACUGACUGGAGGACCGAACCCACUCCCGUUGAAAAGGUAGGGGGAUGACUUGUGGAUCGGAGUGAAAGGCUAAUCAAGCUCGGAGAUAGCUGGUUCUCCUCGAAAGCUAUUUAGGUAGCGCCUCAUGUAUCACUCUGGGGGGUAGAGCACUGUUUCGGCUAGGGGGUCAUCCCGACUUACCAAAACCGAUGCAAACUCCGAAUACCCAGAAGUGCCGAGCAUGGGAGACACACGGCGGGUGCUAACGUCCGUCGUGAAAAGGGAAACAACCCAGACCGCCAGCUAAGGUCCCAAAGUUGUGGUUAAGUGGUAAACGAUGUGGGAAGGCUUAGACAGCUAGGAGGUUGGCUUAGAAGCAGCCAUCCUUUAAAGAAAGCGUAAUAGCUCACUAGUCGAGUCGGCCUGCGCGGAAGAUGUAACGGGGCUCAAACCACACACCGAAGCUGCGGGUGUCACGUAAGUGACGCGGUAGAGGAGCGUUCUGUAAGCCUGUGAAGGUGAGUUGAGAAGCUUGCUGGAGGUAUCAGAAGUGCGAAUGCUGACAUGAGUAACGACAAUGGGUGUGAAAAACACCCACGCCGAAAGACCAAGGGUUCCUGCGCAACGUUAAUCGACGCAGGGUUAGUCGGUUCCUAAGGCGAGGCUGAAAAGCGUAGUCGAUGGGAAACAGGUUAAUAUUCCUGUACUUCUGGUUACUGCGAUGGAGGGACGGAGAAGGCUAGGCCAGCUUGGCGUUGGUUGUCCAAGUUUAAGGUGGUAGGCUGAAAUCUUAGGUAAAUCCGGGGUUUCAAGGCCGAGAGCUGAUGACGAGUCGUCUUUUAGAUGACGAAGUGGUUGAUGCCAUGCUUCCAAGAAAAGCUUCUAAGCUUCAGGUAACCAGGAACCGUACCCCAAACCGACACAGGUGGUCGGGUAGAGAAUACCAAGGCGCUUGAGAGAACUCGGGUGAAGGAACUAGGCAAAAUGGCACCGUAACUUCGGGAGAAGGUGCGCCGGCUAGGGUGAAGGAUUUACUCCGUAAGCUCUGGCUGGUCGAAGAUACCAGGCCGCUGCGACUGUUUAUUAAAAACACAGCACUCUGCAAACACGAAAGUGGACGUAUAGGGUGUGACGCCUGCCCGGUGCCGGAAGGUUAAUUGAUGGGGUUAGCGCAAGCGAAGCUCUUGAUCGAAGCCCCGGUAAACGGCGGCCGUAACUAUAACGGUCCUAAGGUAGCGAAAUUCCUUGUCGGGUAAGUUCCGACCUGCACGAAUGGCGUAACGAUGGCGGCGCUGUCUCCACCCGAGACUCAGUGAAAUUGAAAUCGCUGUGAAGAUGCAGUGUAUCCGCGGCUAGACGGAAAGACCCCGUGAACCUUUACUGUAGCUUUGCACUGGACUUUGAGCCUGCUUGUGUAGGAUAGGUGGGAGGCUUUGAAGCGUGGACGCCAGUUCGCGUGGAGCCAUCCUUGAAAUACCACCCUGGCAUGCUUGAGGUUCUAACUCUGGUCCGUGAUCCGGAUCGAGGACAGUGUAUGGUGGGCAGUUUGACUGGGGCGGUCUCCUCCUAAAGAGUAACGGAGGAGUACGAAGGUGCGCUCAGACCGGUCGGAAAUCGGUCGCAGAGUAUAAAGGCAAAAGCGCGCUUGACUGCGAGACAGACACGUCGAGCAGGUACGAAAGUAGGUCUUAGUGAUCCGGUGGUUCUGUAUGGAAGGGCCAUCGCUCAACGGAUAAAAGGUACUCCGGGGAUAACAGGCUGAUACCGCCCAAGAGUUCAUAUCGACGGCGGUGUUUGGCACCUCGAUGUCGGCUCAUCACAUCCUGGGGCUGAAGCCGGUCCCAAGGGUAUGGCUGUUCGCCAUUUAAAGUGGUACGCGAGCUGGGUUUAGAACGUCGUGAGACAGUUCGGUCCCUAUCUGCCGUGGACGUUUGAGAUUUGAGAGGGGCUGCUCCUAGUACGAGAGGACCGGAGUGGACGAACCUCUGGUGUUCCGGUUGUCACGCCAGUGGCAUUGCCGGGUAGCUAUGUUCGGAAAAGAUAACCGCUGAAAGCAUCUAAGCGGGAAACUUGCCUCAAGAUGAGAUCUCACUGGGAACUUGAUUCCCCUGAAGGGCCGUCGAAGACUACGACGUUGAUAGGCUGGGUGUGUAAGCGUUGUGAGGCGUUGAGCUAACCAGUACUAAUUGCCCGUGAGGCUUGACCAU
rnacentral:rRNA from 1 species